AAACCAACCGGGAUUGCCUUAGUAACGGCGAGUGAAGCGGCAAAAGCUCAAAUUUGAAAUCUGGUACCUUCGGUGCCCGAGUUGUAAUUUGGAGAGGGCAACUUUGGGGCCGUUCCUUGUCUAUGUUCCUUGGAACAGGACGUCAUAGAGGGUGAGAAUCCCGUGUGGCGAGGAGUGCGGUUCUUUGUAAAGUGCCUUCGAAGAGUCGAGUUGUUUGGGAAUGCAGCUCUAAGUGGGUGGUAAAUUCCAUCUAAAGCUAAAUAUUGGCGAGAGACCGAUAGCGAACAAGUACAGUGGUGGAAAGAUGAAAAGAACUUUGAAAAGAGAGUGAAAAAGUACGUGAAAUUGUUGAAGGGAAGGGCAUUUGAUCAGACAUGGUGUUUUGUGCCCUCUGCUCCUUGUGGGUAGGGGAAUCUCGCAUUUCACUGGGCCAGCAUCAGUUUUGGUGGCAGGAUAAAUCCAUAGGAAUGUAGCUUGCCUCGGUAAGUAUUAUAGCCUGUGGGAAUACUGCCAGCUGGGACUGAGGACUGCGACGUAAGUCAAGGAUGCUGGCAUAAUGGUUAUAUGCCGC
rnacentral:rRNA from 1 species